AUUGAACGCUGGCGGCAGGCCUAACACAUGCAAGUCGAGCGGAAACGAGUUAUCUGAACCUUCGGGGAAUGAUAACGGCGUCGAGCGGCGGACGGGUGAGUAAUGCCUAGGAAAUUGCCCUGAUGUGGGGGAUAACCAUUGGAAACGAUGGCUAAUACCGCAUGAUGCCUACGGGCCAAAGAGGGGGACCUUCGGGCCUCUCGCGUCAGGAUAUGCCUAGGUGGGAUUAGCUAGUUGGUGAGGUAAGGGCUCACCAAGGCAACGAUCCCUAGCUGGUCUGAGAGGAUGAUCAGCCACACUGGAACUGAGACACGGUCCAGACUCCUACGGGAGGCAGCAGUGGGGAAUAUUGCACAAUGGGCGCAAGCCUGAUGCAGCCAUGCCGCGUGUAUGAAGAAGGCCUUCGGGUUGUAAAGUACUUUCAGCAGUGAGGAAGGCGGGUACGUUAAUAGCGUGCUCGUUUGACGUUAGCUGCAGAAGAAGCACCGGCUAACUCCGUGCCAGCAGCCGCGGUAAUACGGAGGGUGCGAGCGUUAAUCGGAAUUACUGGGCGUAAAGCGCAUGCAGGUGGUUUGUUAAGUCAGAUGUGAAAGCCCGGGGCUCAACCUCGGAAUAGCAUUUGAAACUGGCAGACUAGAGUACUGUAGAGGGGGGUAGAAUUUCAGGUGUAGCGGUGAAAUGCGUAGAGAUCUGAAGGAAUACCGGUGGCGAAGGCGGCCCCCUGGACAGAUACUGACACUCAUAUGCGAAAGCGUGGGGAGCAACAGG
rnacentral:rRNA from 1 species